GGAUGUGAGGCUGUGACAUCGGUCACCCCAUUGCUGGCCUAGAUUUAUUUGGCUGAUCUGACUGUCUAGGCACAUGUCCCCUUCCUGCCUCACUGUGCUCCAUGUGCGUCCCUCCCCAAGCUGCACUCAAAGAAGACGGCCUUCCUGGAAUAGAGAUGGACUGGUCUUCCGUCAAGGGUACACAAGUAGCUGUGCUCCCCUGCUAGAACCUCCAAACAAGCUCUCAUAUGAAAUAGUUAAGAGGGUUGGGGAGAUAGAAGUAGACUGGACUCACCCCUGGUAUGUGGUUUGACGGU
rnacentral:snRNA from 1 species